rnacentral:tRNA from 1 species
GGUUGGGUGACAGAAUAGAAUUGUCCCGGUCUUGAAAAUCGAGUGAGGGUAAAACCUAUGCGGGUGCAAGUCCUGCCCCAACCG